GUANGGGGCAAGCGUUACCCGGAUUUACUGGGUGUAAAGGGAGCGUAGACNGGUUUGCAAGUCUGANGUGAAAGCCCGGGGCUUAACUCCGGGACUGCUUUGGAAACUGUAGGACUAGNGUGCAGGAGAGGUAAGNGGAAUUCCUAGUGUAGCGGUGAAAUGCGUAGAUAUUAGGAGGAACACCAGUGGCGAAGGCGGCUUACUGGACUGUAACUGACGUUGAGGCUCGAAAGCGUGGGGAGCAAACAGGAUUAGAUACCCUGGUAGUCCACGCCGUAAACGNUGAUUACUAGGUGUUGGUGGGUAUGACCCAUCGGUGCCGCAGCAAACGCAAUAAGUAAUCCACCUGGGGAGU
rnacentral:rRNA from 1 species